UUGAUCCUGGCUCAGAAUCAACGCUGGCGGCGUGCCUAACACAUGCAAGUCGAACGCGAAAACCCCGAAAGGGGUUAGUAGAGUGGCAAACGGGUGAGUUACGCGUGGGUGACCUGCCUUCGAGCGGGGGAUAACGUUCCGAAAGGGACUCUAAUACCGCAUAACAUCCUGCCCUUGAACGGGUGGAGAUCAAAGCUGGUGAUUCGCAAGAACCCGGCACUUGAAGAGGGGCCCGCGUCUGAUUAGCUAUUUGGUGAGGUAACGGCUCACCAAGGCAACGAUCAGUAUCCGGCCUGAGAUGGCGGACGGACACACUGGGACUGAGACACGGCCCAGACUCCUACGGGAGUCAGCAGUGGGGAAUUGUUCGCAAUGGGCGCAAGCCUGACGACGCAACGCUGCGUGGAGGAUGAAGAUUUUCGGAUCGUAAACUCCUGUCGAAUGGGACGUACAGAUUGCGGGUUAACAGCCCGCGGUCCUGACGGUACCGUUAAAGGAAUCCCCGGCUAACUCCGUGCCAGCAGCCGCGGUAAUAAGGU
rnacentral:rRNA from 1 species